GAUGAACGCUAGCUACAGGCUUAACACAUGCAAGUCGAGGGGUCUCGCGGAAGCUUGCUUUCGAGAGACGACCGGCGCACGGGUGAGUAACGCGUAUCCAACCUGCCCUUCAUAUUGGGAUAGCCUUCCGAAAGGAAGAUUAAUACCGAAUAACAUAGCGAGAUUGCCUGAUUUCUCUAUGGAAGCUCCGGCGAUGAAGGAUGGGGAUGCGUUCCAUUAGGUAGUAGGCGGGGUAACGGCCCACCUAGCCGACGAUGGAUAGGGGUUCUGAGAGGAAGGUCCCCCACACUGGAACUGAGACACGGUCCAGACUCCUACGGGAGGCAGCAGUGAGGAAUAUUGGUCAAUGGGCGCAAGCCUGAACCAGCCAAGUAGCGUGAAGGAAGCCUGCCCUAUGGGUUGUAAACUUCUUUUAUACGGGAACAAACCCUGGUACGUGUACCAGAUUGCGUGUACCGUAUGAAUAAGCAUCGGCUAACUCCGUGCCAGCCGCCGCCGUAACAC
rnacentral:rRNA from 1 species